AGUUUGACAACUAUCAGUAAACGUUCGUUACUACGUAGUUAUUUGUAUAAUGAGAAGGAUUGUCGUUAUUGGCGAAUAAGUAUGAGCGGAAUUUGCAAUUCAGAAGUUAUAGAUCGGUAAUUCGAAACCGGAAGCGUUCUCCUCGAAAACAUGGUGCUGCUAUUGGAUAUUACAUUCGUUAUGAAUAAUUGGAACUUCAUCCCACGAAUUAACUGUAGCGUAGAAACUUAAUUCACGUGGUUUUGUUGCUCCCGACGACGGGUCGUACUUUUUCCAAUAAUUAGACUCACUACUAUUUUUCGUUAAGUUAUAAUAAUCGAUCUGUUGGUGAAGAAGUAGAUUAGUGCAAUAUAUUGAUAAUGACGAACGCUGUCUAAUAUCUUAUUGGAAUAAUAAAAACUGUACAAACUGUAUUUGGUAAUGUUCAUAGCAGAAUGUUUAACUGCAAUAAUUUCUUCUGUAUUGGAUUAAAAAUAAAAAUGUUUCUCAUCCACAA